rnacentral:ncRNA from 1 species
ACCAUGUGCCCAAACGUUGGUGCCUGUGUAAACAGGUGAAAAGGGAAUGUGCAGCCGCGUUUUGCGAGGUCAAGCACAGCCGCCCCCGCGACCGUGAACAAAAAGGGCGCGAUCCGCCACUGGCCAAAGGCUGGGAAGGCACGCGACCGAAGGGGAGCCUCCCCGAGAUUUGUAAGCCGGGAGACCUGCCAACCCACGACUUUGAGA